rnacentral:lncRNA from 10 species
GAGCAUCUGGGCUACGAUUAUUUAUUUUGUUCCUAGAAUUUCUCCAGCUUGGGCAUUGGGAGCUCUUGCAGACCCCGUCGACAUUCACUCCCUGAAGCCUCCAAAGCCACCGCCCUUCCCUGAGCUUCUGUUGGUCAGAGUGGAUGUGAACUGUGAGGCUGUAGAAUGAUUUGGGAAAAUUGUCUCUUCAUAUCUGUUAAAGCUAAAUGUACGCCUAGCCUAUGACUCAACAAUUCUGCUCCUAGGUAUAUACCCAAGAAAAAUCCACAAACAAGUUCACCAAAAGGCAUGUGCAAUACGCAGAGUGACACUAUUCAUGACAGUCUCCAAACUGGAAACAACCCACAUGUCCACCAAUGGAUAAACCGUGGUCUGGUCACACCAUCAAAUACAACAAUGGGAGUAAAUGAGAAGAAUGAAUGAAUCUCACAAACACAAUGUUGAGUGAAAGAAAUCAGACGCCAAAGAAUGCACACCAAGUGAUUCCAUUAAAAACAGAUCAUGGAGGCCGGGCGUGGCGGCUCACGCCUGUAAUCCCAGCACUUUGGGAGGCCGAGACGGGCGGAUCACGAGGUCAGGAGAUCAAGACCAUCCUGGCUAACACAGUGAAACCCCAUCUCUACUAAAAAUACAAAAAAAUCAGCCGGGCACAGUGGCGGGCGCCUGUAGUGGAGAUGGGCCUAGAUCCUAGAUGCUGAGAGGAGGCGUCCACACGGCUGAGGGAGGCCAGGCAGAGGCCAUAGUGUGGGUGAAGGCCAGAGAAUGGGCGAGCUCAGGGAACUGGGGGCCUCGGGGCAGAGCCCGGAGCAGAAUGAUGGGUGUGGGUGCAGGUGGGGCACAGGCUGGAGGUGUUGGGAAGAAGCCUGUUGGUGAUGCGAAUGUCCUGGGGCCGACAACGUGGUGAACGCACUGGAUGCCACUGAAUUGUGCACUUCAAAAUUGUGAAAAUAGUGAAUUUUAUAAUAUGUGAAUUUUACCACCAUAAAAACCAAACUAUUAGUACAA